rnacentral:tRNA from 1 species
CGCGGGGUGAGCAGUCUGCAGCUCGUCGCUCAUAACCCGAAGGGUCACAGGUUCAAUCCUGUCCCCGCAACCA